rnacentral:rRNA from 1 species
GGGCCCGCACAAGCGGUGGAGUAUGUGGUUUAAUUCGAUGCAACGCGAAGAACCUUACCAGGGUUUGACAUCCUGCGAAUCUCUUGGAAACAGGAGAGUGCCUUCGGGAACGCAGUGACAGGUGGUGCAUGGCUGUCGUCAGCUCGUGUCGUGAGAUGUUGGGUUAAGUCCCAUAACGAGCGCAACCCCUAUCUUUAGUUGCCAGCGAUUCGGUCGGGGACUCUAAAGAAACUGCCGGCGUAAGCCGCGAGGAAGGUGGGGAUGACGUCAAAUCAUCACGGCCCUUACAUCUUGGGCUACACACGUGCUACAAUGGCGAGGACAACGAGAAGCAAACCGGCGACGGUGAGCAAAUCUAAAAACCUCGUCUCAGUUCGGAUCGGAGUCUGCAACUCGACUCCGUGAAGUUGGAAUCGCUAGUAAUCGCGCAUC